ensembl:lncRNA
CUCUAAGCAGAUUCUUUGUUUUAAUAUCUUUUACUAUCCCUUUAGAAAACCUUGUCUAUAAUGAAGCCACUGGUGUUACUAACUGCAGUAUACCAAGAAAUGGAAGGAGUUUCUGGAACAAUGCUGUGAUGUGACUCCCAUUUGGUGACUUCUGGCCAAACUAGUUGUAUGAUUCACUUCCUCUCAAGUUACUGAAGGUGUUUCCCAGGAAAUGUGUCACCUCGGUGUCACAAUUGCUCAGCUAUGAAACUUAAAAUUGCCCACAUACAUUAUUUGUAAACUCAAGUUUCUCAAGUAUUAGGGAACCUAAUUCCAAAUUUAACUUGACCAUGCGUUUCUGAGCUGUGGCUGUCCAUUGAGCGUGUUUGCAUUGGUACUUAGUGACAUGAGAUUUCACUUUGAAAAACUAGUAGGAGGAUGCAUUUUUGCCUCUGCAACCUUGGAAGUACACACCUCAAACUCCUAUGAAAGUCCAUCUAAAAUACAAUUUCUAUGAAAGAUUUUGAAGUUGAACUAUUUUACUUGAUUCCACCUUUUAUAUGAUAAUUCCUCUGACAAAUUUCUUUAGUUACCACUGAAAACCUGUUCAGAUAACACAAGUCUUUAAUUAGCUUUUACUAUUAGUUACUCAUGGUAUAAAGAUAUUUUGGGUAUAUGUGCUCCUUGCAUUAAAGCUUGACACUCAAUAGCUUCCCUUAAUACAGGUAUGUACUCUUUACAAGCUGUGAGGGAGACUUUAUCAUGCUCAAGGUCGUAUCUAAAGAGGUUCUAAAGGUACGGCUUGCAUCUGCACUUCUUUGACAAUUUCUGAUCAGGCUUAACUGGAGUUGCAGCUUUUGCCCACUGCUGGGGAAAAAAGCCAGUCACUGGUUCCUAACCUACACCAUGCACCUGUUCAUAGACUUGUCUCAAAUUUCUCAUCUGCAAUCUCUCCUGCAGUGCCAUAUACCCAUUCCAUUAGUAGCAAUCCAGAAGACUAAAAGAACUCUGCACCCCAAGCUAGCUGGAGACGAAAAUACCAAGCAUUUCUGCAACAGUAAUCACUGUGAAAGUAAGCAGGGACUUCAGAAACAGUCAUUCUAUCUUACGCUAUUCAGAGCAGGGAGCAAGUCCUUCCACUGUCAUCUCUUUUUCUGCUAAGUAUAUAGGGAGCCUCAGGUUCCUGAAUUUUGGGGCCUAGCACAUGCCUGGAACUAUUCGGGAAUCCUUUUUAAGUACACUUGUGUUGUGAUAUUCUGUUGAUCUUCAGAAAAAUCUGUUGUGUCUUUCUAAUCUGUUAUUAAAACUCUCACUGAGAGUGGUAGAAGUACUGAGGAAAAGAACGCUGAAAUUCAAAGUAUGCAUAAGCACUUCCAAAUGUACAGUUAUUCUAUAAUGUUCUUCUGUUAUUUUGACAGCAAUAUAAGAAAACAAAUGUCAAAAAAAAAAAAAAAAGUAGCUUUCCAACAUUUGUGUAGCUGCUUUGAAAGAUGUCCUUGCAAUUUCCCCAAUGAGCUGAUGGAUGUUCUCAGUGAAGUCUCCUCAGCAUGUAAACAGAUACAUCUCCUCUGAGGUAUUCUGCUGUAAUCUGACAGUUUUGAAACUGGAGUGCCUACUUUAGCUGGGAUUGUCUGUGGUGCCAGUGUCUAAUGUUUCUUUAACUCUUUGGAUGGCAGUAACCAGUGACAAACUUAUGAGCUGAUUUUUGUGUUAGCUCACAGAUGGACUCUUAUUUAUGCUAAUAUACAAACACUGAUUGCAGACAAAAGCUUUGCAAGAAAGUACACAUGAGCCAAUGAAGAAGACAAGGUAGUUGGGGCAGAUCCACAGAUAAUCCGACUGGCUUAGCACAGUGUGAGAGAAAAUUAAUACAUUAUAUAGAGUUUGCUUUUUUUGAAGUUGUUUUUUUUUUUUUUUUUUUAAACUGGAAUGAAACUUCAGCAGCAGAAGGGCACUUCCUUACUCAAUGACUAGUAGCAAAACAGACUUUUAUGGAACCAAAGUUGUGAAUGUGACUAUGUGCCUGUUUUCUUGCAUACGUAGAGCUAGGGCUCUACAUGAAUGAGAUCCAUGAUUUCCUGUUACACUUUACAGUUCAUUCACUUUACAUUGUUUUCUUUUUUCCUGGCAGUAUGAAAAUGGUGAUAAUGUUAUUUACCAAUGCAUGUAUUUUCUGUAAAAAUUCUGUAUGUACAAAUCUCCAAGAACUGCUGGAGAUUGGUCCACCAGAGGAAGACAGCUGUGGUAAACCUCCCCAGAAGGAUAUCAAGCCCAUGGAAGUGGAUCUACCCCAAGACUAAGAGGAGACCAUGGACCCAUAUAUGGUGCAACAAUUGCAGUGGGACACCACGGCCCUGGGAUGGGAAAUGCAGAGAUUUCUCAAAAUGUCACUUUUUCAGACUGAAGAGAUUUUGCUCACAGCUGAGUGCAGCUGUUGCCCAGAGGACUAAGAAGUUCUGUCUGUGAGAGAUUCUAUAAACAGUUACCGGUCACACUGAAUUGUGAAUCUUAUUAUUUGAUAAAUAAUUUUAAAAUACAUAAAAUAUAGGUUUACUUGAAGACAUAAACACAAGGGUUC